rnacentral:lncRNA from 1 species
GUUGGUGGCACUGUGAUGUCACACUGAGUCUGUGACACGUGGGGACAAAAAGGGGCUGUGGGGUGCUGGCAUCUGCACUCUGGAGGACACAAUCCACAGGGUGACCACCUUUGCCACUGAAGACAUGGCUGUGGCCACUCAGGAUCAAGCUGGCAACGUGAGCCAGACCAAGAUGGACUUCUGGGAUGGGAUGGAGUCUGUCUUCAUGAUGCCCAACAUCACCCCCACAGAGCGAAGGGCUGUCUGGAAUGCAGUGUCCAGGUACGUCCAACGGCAGCUCCUGCAGCACAAGGGGAUCCGAGUUCCCACCCUUGGCUCCUUCGACGUGGCCCACACAGAGAUCCCCGUGGGGGACAGGACUGUGACUCUCCAGAGGCCGGUGUUCUACCUGGCCAGGAACCUCGGGGGAGUCUCCAAUCUCAUGGACACCAACACUGACCUGACUGGUAAGACAGGGAGUGACUCCCUGGGCUCAGGGGGCAUCACACUCCUGUUCUAGAAGCAAAGGGAGCAGGUCUGACCCCAGGUC